UCAGGACGAACGCUGGCGGCGUGCCUAACACAUGCAAGUCGAGCGAGGAGAUUCCUCGGGAUGAUCCUAGCGGCGGACGGGUGAGUAACACGUGGGCAACCUGCCUCAUAGAGAGGAAUAGCCUUCCGAAAGGGAGAUUAAUACCUCAUAACAUUGCAGUUUCGCAUGGAACAGCAAUUAAAGGAGUAAUCCGCUAUGAGAUGGGCCCGCGGCGCAUUAGCUAGUUGGUGAGGUAACGGCUCACCAAGGCGACGAUGCGUAGCCGACCUGAGAGGGUGAUCGGCCACAUUGGGACUGAGACACGGCCCAGACUCCUACGGGAGGCAGCAGUGGGGAAUAUUGCACAAUGGGGGAAACCCUGAUGCAAGCAACGCCGCGUGAGUGAUGACGGCCUUCGGGUUGUAAAGCUCUGUCUUCAGGGACGAUAAUGACGGUACCUGAGGAGGAAGCCACGGCUAACUACGUGCCAGCAGCCGC
rnacentral:rRNA from 1 species